rnacentral:rRNA from 1 species
UACGGGGGGACGAGCGUUGUUCGGAUUUACUGGGCGUAAAGGGCGCGUAGGCGGGUCUUCAAGUCGGAUGUGAAAACUAUCAGCUUAACUGGUAGCCUGCAUUUGAUACUGUUGAUCUUGAGUACGGGAGAGGAGAGUGGAAUUCCAGGUGUAGCGGUGAAAUGCGUAGAUAUCUGGAAGAACACCAGUAGCGAAGGCGGCUCUCUGGACCGAUACUGACGCUCAAGCGCGAAGGCUUGGGGAGCAAACAGGAUUAGAAACCCCGU